UACGUAGGGUGCGAGCGUUGUCCGGAAUUACUGGGCGUAAAGAGCUCGUAGGUGGUUUGUCGCGUUGUCCGUGAAAACUCACAACUCAAUUGUGGGCGUGCGGGCGAUACGGGCAGACUGGAGUACUGCAGGGGAGACUGGAAUUCCUGGUGUAGCGGUGGAAUGCGCAGUUAUCAGGAGGAACACCGGUGGCGAAGGCGGGUCUCUGGGCAGUAACUGACGCUGAGGAGCGAAAGCGUGGGGAGCGAACAGG
rnacentral:rRNA from 1 species